CCUACGGGUGGCUGCAGUGGGGAAUAUUGGACAAUGGGCGAAAGCCUGAUCCAGCCAUGCCGCGUGUGUGAAGAAGGCCUUCGGGUUGUAAAGCACUUUCAGUGGGGAAGAAAGCCUUGGGGCUAAUACCCUCGAGGAAGGACAUCACCCACAGAAGAAGCACCGGCUAACUCCGUGCCAGCAGCCGCGGUAAUACGGAGGGUGCGAGCGUUAAUCGGAAUUACUGGGCGUAAAGCGCGCGUAGGCGGUCUGAUAAGCCGGUUGUGAAAGCCCCGGGCUCAACCUGGGAACGGCAUCCGGAACUGUCAGGCUAGAGUGCAGGAGAGGAAGGUAGAAUUCCCUGUGUAGCGGUGAAAUGCGUAGAGAUCGGGAGGAAUACCAGUGGCGAAGGCGGCCUUCUGGACUGACACUGACGCUGAGGUGCGAAAGCGUGGGUAGCAAACAGGAUUAGAUACCCGUGUAGUC
rnacentral:rRNA from 1 species